AUUGAACGCUGGCGGCAGGCCUAACACAUGCAAGUCGAGCGAGCGUCGGACGGGGGUGUAUAAUGUGGGGACUGCCCGAUAGAAGGGGAUAACAACUGGAAACAGUGACUAAUACCGCAUACUAUCGGAUAACCCAUAUGGGAUUAGCUAGUAGGUGAGGUAAUGGCUCACCUAGGCGACGAUCCCUAGCUGGUCUGAGAGGAUGAUCAGCCACACUGGGACUGAGACACGGCCCAGACUCCUACGGAGGCAGCAGUGGGGAAUAUUGCGCAAUGGGCGCAAGCCUGAUGCAGCAACGCCGCGUGUAUGAAGAAGGCCCUCGGGUUGUAAAGUACUUUUAGUCGGGAGGCGUUACCGAGAGAAGAAGCCCCCGCUAACUCCGUGCCAGCCGCCGGGGUAAUAC
rnacentral:rRNA from 1 species